rnacentral:rRNA from 1 species
AUUGAACGCUGGCGGCAGGCCUAACACAUGCAAGUCGAGCGAGCGGCAGACGGGUGAGGAAUGUAUGGGGGUCUGCCCGAUAGCGGGGGAUAACUGCUGGAAACUGUGGCUAAUACCGCAUACUAUCGGAUAAACCCUUAUGGGAUUAGCUAGUAGGUGGGGUAAAGGCUCACCUAGGCGACGAUCUCUAGCUGGUCUGAGAGGAUGAUCAGCCACACGGGGACUGAGACACGGCCCAGACUCCUACGGGAGGCAGCAGUGGGGAAUAUUGCACAAUGGGCGCAAGCCUGAUGCAGACAUGCCGCGUGUAUGAAGAAGGCCUUAGGGUUGUAAAGUACUUUCAGCGGGGAGGCGUUACCCGCAGAAGAAGCACCGGCUAACUCCGUGCCAGCAGCCGCGGUAAUAC